CCCACGCCCCUACCGCCGCCUUGAUCUCGAUCUCAAAUCCAAAACCUUCUUUUCCAAUCCUCAUCGACAGAACCAAAUCGCUCACUCCCUUGUUACUUGCCAUCUCAAGCUAUAAGGAUCAACCUUCGAAGAUGUUAGUAGUGAUAGGACGACGGUGAUGGUGGGGAAAGAUACACAACAGGAGAAGCGACCUCGAUCCACAACAACAUGGCAUCAAUUUGAAGAGAUGCUAGCUUCCUUCUUUGAGGUGGAUCCCCCCCCUUCUUCAUUCGAGUAAAAUUUUGUGAGGUAUUGAAAAAUCCUAUUUCUUUUGUCUUCCCCAGCAUACUAGUUUGGUGCAGAUGGCUUUAUCCCUCUUUCAUGCUUCAGUUUGAUGAAGACUGUGUAUGGUCUUAGACUGUUACAGUAUAGAUAUUUCAUUAAAAUGAAGAGUAAAUAAGAUAAAGUAUGAUUCAUUCAGCACAACCAGUAAUCAUAUCAAGUCUUCCUAGGGAUGAACAAAGUCAUAUGUAGGUAAAUACUAUAAGAGAAAAUCAUGUCAUUUAAUCUAAAGAUAUUGGUACUAACUUCUACCAUGUCAUCAUUUUCCUGUGUCGAAGGUAAGACAGAUCUCACUCAUAUUCUGAGGCCUUUUUUGUUCCAACGAAACUCAUUGAUUUGGUUUCACUGGAACUGUUUUUGGCACCCAAUAAUUUUGGUUUAUUCUGGUGAUCUGAUCUUUGUGGUAGAGCUAGAUACCCACAUGACAAGUCACUCCUUGGGCGCCUCUUGGGUGCCCACUCCCCGAUCCACCUUUUCUCAUCCCCGUCCCUCUUUAUUAAUAUGGAAAUCAGAUUUUUUUUAAUAAAUAGAUGAAAUAGCACAGGUGAGAUACAUAAUGAAUUUAGACUUUGUAGUUUCAUAAUAGAGGCAAGUCACAAUAACUUAGUUGUAAAAGCGAGCGAGUAGGGCAUGCACAGUAAUGAUAUUUAUCAUCUGUUUAGACAGUACAUCAGCAAAAUCCUAGGUGCAUGAACAGUUUGUCUCUUGGCUCAGACAUCAUGUACUAAAGAUAUGUGGGUUAUAUAAAGAUAACUAUAUUAACUAAUAAGAUAAAACACAUAUUGUAUAGUUUAUAUCUGAAAACUUCUCUGUGUGCUUAGGUAUAGGUUGAGAGACAACCAAGAGACUACAGAGUUGUAAUGGUCUUAAAUAGGCAUUGUGUGGUUAUGCCAUGAUAUAUCAAUACAAUUCAGGUGGGGAUUAAAUCCCCCAGGUGACAGUUCAAGAAAAUAGGCAUUGUAUUCUAAUACUUAAAAGGUUUAAUUUUAUUUCAAUGAUGACAAAUAUAUUUUCUGCCCCCCUCUCUGCAGUUGCAUUAUAUUAUAUAAAAGGGCUUAAAUUUAUGAACAAUUAGACUUAAAUGAACUGCUAGUGUUGACUUUGCACGAAUCUAAGUUAUCAAACCCUGGAGAAUAGUUGAAAGAAUUUUCAAACACUUUGUACAGUCGCCCCCAGAAAAAUGUCAAUAUAAAUUUGUUGGAGUCAAAUAAGUUAAUUUUUGAUAUAUCCAUAUUUUUGCCCUAUAUGGCGAGAUUCCACAACAUUUUCAUAGAAUCAGAGGGUUGAUGCACAAGCUUUUUAAUGCAGUUGAACAUUUGAAAAUAACAUGAGUUGAUCCAUAGGCUUUAUAAAGAAAUUGACUAUGUUUGUAUAUGUAGAUAUUUGUUACAAUAAAUAAUUAUUGGUUAUAAUAUGCUUUAAUUUGAAGGCAGUACUUGUGUCCAAAACCAUACUUUUUGUGACAUGAGAAUUACUAUAUCUAACUUGAGAAAAGUUCAAAACAACCACUUGAGAUGACAUAAACAACUCGUCACCCUAUAUACAACAACAUCAUGCUCAGUUCAUUCUUAUACAACACACAACAGGACAGCAUAAAAGCUCCUGCUAGGAACAAAAAAACCAUUGGCACAUAAUGAGUCAAUAAUAUAUAGAGAGCUAAAACAUCAGUUCAGAUCUCAGCAAGUGUAGCCGUAUGUCGUAUAUCACCUUGAAAAUCAUUAAUCAGUUGAAAAUAUUUAUGACGUCCACAGAGGCUAGCGAUUAGUCACCGAAUGGGUGAAAACUGAAUAACCUCAUACAUUUCCCAUUCCACAGUUCAACCAACCACAUGUUAAUGGUGAACUGAAACCAAAUAUCACAGGAGAAUGGCAAAAGCAAUGGAGCACAAAUCGCUAAUGUCAUAGGUGAACCAACCUAGAAAUGAAUGCAGAAUACUUGAAGUUAAAUAUACUCAAGUACUCAAGGAAAAAAGAUUCCAUGAAUAGGAAAUUAGGAAAGAGGCUUUUCAGAAUUUACUGAAGGAAACCUCCAACAUAUCAAUAGCACUAUGUGUUCUCACAUCACACAACAUUAUUAACCAUACUCCCAGAUAACAUAUAAGACAACACUGUUGAUCUCACAUAGUCAUACAACAGCAGAUAACAUUAUUAACCAUGCCAGGUAAGGUUCCACAAGGGUUAUUAUAAGGAGAAAGAAGGCCCAGGAGCCAGGAAAGUCUAAUAAGAAGCAGGAUGGUGGCUUUAUUCCAAGUUUUACGACUUGCAUGAGAUAUAAGGCACCAACAUCCAGGCAUGUGACACUAGCUAGUUCCGGACUUUCUUCCGCUUCGGAACAAACUGCCGAGCCCAUAGAUGCUUCCCUCGUAUCACGAACUUGACCCUUGGGUUGCCACGAAGGAUGUGGAGGAUUGUCUCCUGUGUGAAAAAACAGAUGUGUGCAUAGAGUGGUGGCCUAGGUUCAACUGGCUCCUCCACGCUUAUGAUUUCAACACCUCCAAAGUUCCUGUGAAAUUAAAGAAAUACAGUAAUCAAAAUUAAGGAGCCAACAGACACGUAUCUCAAAAAGUAAAAAGUUCCUUUACUUUUAGUUGCUGGGGAAAUGAUUAGCUGUUUACAUUAUAUAUCUUAAGUUCAGCAUUGCAUUGUACAAUCAUAAGUUGUGCAUAGAAAUUGAUGCAUUUAGCACAUAACAAAAAUUUUAGGUGAGAGUGCAUUUAAAAAAAUUAGGGCUGUUAGUCUGAUGCUGUGUGUAUCUCAUCUGCAUCACAUCUUGUAUCGUUUGAAAAGGUAACAUGUUUAUCACACAAAAGUUUCAUACUUGUGGAACAAUGAAGUUUCUCAUAUAAAUGGUUGUUCUGGCAAUUUCAUCUUUUAAAUGCAUGCUAUGAAAAAAAUAGAAAAGUACCGACUACUGAUAAAACUUGUCCACUGAUUAUGUUACUGUAGAAUGUCACAUAAGACCUCAAAGCUAUAACUUUGUCUUUCUGCCAUGACUUGACACAGAAUUAUAUAAACUGUAUAAAUCCUGUGAUCAGGUACACAAACUAAACAUCAAAUUAAUUUUGCAUCCUUUUUGUCUAGUCAGUGAUCCUCCAAUCAAUCCCUAGUAAACUACAUAACUUGUGAUAUAUGAUGAAUAUAUGUGCUUCACCUUAUAACAUUCUAUAGCAUAGAUACCUAUGUAGUCGAUCUGUGCAUUGGUGUACACCUAACAAGUUGGUUAACAAUAUUUCUGGAAAUAAGGGGCUACAAGUAUCCCUGUGGACCUGUGGUAUGACAUGCAUUGGCGCCUGCGGUUUUACCUACGCGUUAUGUAACAAUGUUCACCUGAAUGAAUCAGUUUUAAAAUUCAAAUUCUAUUGAUCAAUCCGACAUCUCAGUAAAUAUUUCGUUAUCAACUGCAACAUUUUGAAGUCAGCAACCUAAAGUCCACCAUUAUUUACAUAUCUGUAAGUAAUUGCCUGACAAGAAUAGACUUUACCCCUCAAAAAAUUCGAAUAGUUCAUCUGCAGUAAAUGGGUAGCCAUUGGAGAAAGUCACGAAGAGAGUUCUCUCAUCACGGGGAAUACUGGGCUGUCGCUGCACCUGGAUCUGUAGCUGGAUCUGUAGCAAAAUAUGGGAUAGCAAGGUAUUAGGUCUUGUAACCACAGCAAGAUAAUUGAAUAAAUAAUUUGCAGACGUCCAGGAUAGUGAAACUUAGAAAAUUCUUACUGCAUCAGCUUGUGGAUCAUCCCUUAAGUUCAGGCUAUCAAAAAGGGUCGCCAAAGGGUAUGUUGAUAGGCACUGAUCGAUUGGAUUUUCAAUAUCUCUGAGGAUCUGAUUUUUGGGGGAUGGCAUGCUUCUAGAACUUGAGCCUUCUUCAUGACUCGGAUUACCAGUGAAGGAUGCCCUGAUCUUAGACAAAAGAUCCUUCUGCAGGAAUGUUUAGGGAAAGGAAAAAAUAAUUAAAAACAUCUUUCAACAUCUCUCGGACUCACAGCUCUAAGUACACUCUCUUACCGUGCUCAUGAUAGGAGCUUUACCCUUCAUGUUCUGUUGCUGAACUUGUUGAUGAUUGUUUCGGUAGAUACGUUCCUUUGCCUCUGCUAUUUCUAGAAUAUCUUCUAAAGCCUUGUAGCAGAAAUUGUUGAGGUAGAAAAGGAUACCUUCCGUAGCUUCUUUCUGGAAAUAGCCUUCUUCCUCAGAUCUAUGAUUGAAGUGACUAGACUUACGACGUAGAGCUUCAAUAAACAUUUUUCCAGCAACGGCAAUUCCCCUGAGAUUAUAGUUAUCAAAGGAUUCUACGCUUGCAAGGAAAUCAGGAUGACCAUUCCCUUCAAGCCACAACCAAAAGGAAAUUAUCUCCAUGGAGAGGGAACACUCCAUCUGAAGGGAAAAGACCAUCCGGGAGAACAGCUGGCGCACAAUCAUAUGGAUAGAACUAGUAGCAUUCAGUAGAUCCGGCGGCGCCUUGGAAGCCAUGAGAGCCAGUAGUGAAGAAAAAGUGAGGAAAGAGGAAUUCAGAGUUUUGAAACGAAGGGAGGGCUGGCUUGAGUGAAGAAGAAAAUGCAGUCUCGACUAGGCUUAUCAGUUAAGUAUAUGCAUAAAUGUUCACAUUGGGUUGUUUUCCAAUUCAACCCCUGUCCACGUUAGCUAGAUGGCCCACAAUGCAUAGACUGGAGGAUAGGCAGAGGUGACAAAAUAAGCAUACGAAGCAAAAGCUGUACUCAUUAAAGGUAGUCACAUUUUGAGCACACACCUGCCAAAUAACUGAUGAAAAUUUGCAUUAACCACCUUUAGUGAGUUGGAACUUCAAAACAACACAUCGAUUUUCUCUGGGGUGUCUGCUGCAAAUCCAUGCCUACUGAAAUGCCCUUUGAAUAAAUAAGGAAAUUAUACAUGGUAGAAUUGCAAAUGUUCAUAAAAAGACAAAGUUGGUAAACUUUAAUGUUCCUCUAGUCUAUAAUAUAAGAAGGAAAUGGGUUCAGCAAGACUGGUUCUGAUGAAAAGGAUUUGAACGUUAGACAUAAGAUUUAGUAGUAAUCAUUUGAGCUAACUCAUAUUCUAGAAUUAAAUGCAUUUUUAAAAAUAUUUUCUAUAGAUGGAUUCCAAAAUUUAAGUAAAAGAUGGAGUAAAUAUUUUUUUGAGCACAAGAUCUAAUUCCUCCAUCUCAAAAUAUCGAGCAUAUUAGGAUUAAGGAAAGUCUAGCUUGGUAGAAACGAUGGGUUCUUUAUAAAAAACGAUUAUACUCUUAUUUGCAUGUUGCUUUUAGGGCAACUUAUCGGACCCACUUUUGGAACGCCUUGCAGAAAAAGACCGACAAACUUUUUCAAAACUGG
rnacentral:lncRNA from 1 species